UACAUACACACACACACACACACACACACACAUUCCCAUACAUACAUACAUACACAUACACACACACACACACACACACACACACAUUCCCAUACAUACACACACACACACACACACAUCCCCAUACAUCCACACACACACACACAUCCCACACACACACAUCCACACACACACAUCCCCAUACAUACACACACACACACAUCCACACACACACAUCCCCAUACAUACACACACACACACGCACCCACCCACCCACACACACACACACACACACACACACCUUUUACAUUUACACAGACCAGGACACUAACCCCGCACUGAUUUUAGAUAAGCAAACAAAACCGAGAUUAUACUGUUUAACUACUAUUUAAAUAUGAAUAGUCAACAAAGGACGAUUUACAUUGUUUGCACAUUCAUGCUCUCUGAUCCAGAACUAUAUCCGUCAUGUGUUUAAUCCACGCUCCACAAUAUAACCGUAUAUAAAUGGAACAGCUUGAGGUAUGAAACAGCAUUAUAAUGUCCAUACCAACGGCUUGAGGUAUGAAAUGGUAUUAUAGUGUCCAUACCAACGGCUUGAGGUAUGAAAUGGUAUUAUAGUGUCCAUACCAACGGCUUGAGGUAUGAAACAGCAUUAUAAUGUCCAUACCAACGGCUUGAGGUAUGAAAUGGUAUUAUAGUGUCCAUACCAACAGCUUGAGGUAUGAAAUGGUAUUAUAAUGUCCAUACCAACGGCUUGAGGUAUGAAAUGGUAUGAAAUGGUAUUAUAGUGUCCAUACCAACGGCUUGAGGUAUGAAAUGGUAUUAUAGUGUCCAUACCAACGGCUUGAGGUAUGAAAUGGUAUUAUAGUGUCCAUACCAACGGCUUGAGGUAUGAAAUGGUAUUAUAGUGUCCAUACCAACGGCUUGAGGUAUGAAAUGGUAUUAUAGUGUCCAUACCAACGGCUUGAGGUAUGAAACAGCAUUAUAAUGUCCAUACCAACGGCUUGAGGUAUGAAAUGGUAUUAUAGUGUCCAUACCAACGGCUUGAGGUAUGAAAUGGUAUUAUAGUGUCCAUACCAACGGCUUGAGGUAUGAAACAGCAUUAUAAUGUCCAUACCAACGGCUUGAGGUAUGAAAUGGUAUUAUAGUGUCCAUACCAACGGCUUGAGGUAUGAAAUGGUAUUAUAGUGUCCAUACCAACGGCUUGAGGUAUGAAACAGCAUUAUAAUGUCCAUACCAACGGCUUGAGGUAUGAAAUGGUAUUAUAGUGUCCAUACCAACAGCUUGAGGUAUGAAAUGGUAUUAUAAUGUCCAUACCAACGGCUUGAGGUAUGAAAUGGUAUUAUAGUGUCCAUACCAACGGCUUGAGGUAUGAAAUGGUAUUAUAGUGUCCAUACCAACGGCUUGAGGUAUGAAACAGCAUUAUAGUGUCCAUACCAACGGCUUGAGGUAUGAAAUGGUAUUAUAGUGUCCAUACCAACGGCUUGAGGUAUGAAAUGGUAUUAUAGUGUCCAUACCAACAGCUUGAGGUAUGAAAUGGUAUUAUAGUGUCCAUACCAACGGCUUGAGGUAUGAAAUGGUAUUAUAGUGUCCAUACCAACGGCUUGAGGUAUGAAACAGCAUUAUAAUGUCCAUACCAACGGCUUGAGGUAUGAAAUGGUAUUAUAGUGUCCAUACCAACGGCUUGAGGUAUGAAAUGGUAUUAUAGUGUCCAUACCAACGGCUUGAGGUAUGAAACAGCAUUAUAAUGUCCAUACCAACGGCUUGAGGUAUGAAAUGGUAUUAUAGUGUCCAUACCAACGGCUUGAGGUAUGAAAUGGUAUUAUAGUGUCCAUACCAACGGCUUGAGGUAUGAAACAGCAUUAUAAUGUCCAUACCAACGGCUUGAGGUAUGAAAUGGUAUUAUAGUGUCCAUACCAACGGCUUGAGGUAUGAAAUGGUAUUAUAGUGUCCAUACCAACGGCUUGAGGUAUGAAACAGCAUUAUAAUGUCCAUACCAACGGCUUGAGGUAUGAAAUGGUAUUAUAGUGUCCAUACCAACGGCUUGAGGUAUGAAAUGGUAUUAUAGUGUCCAUACCAACGGCUUGAGGUAUGAAACAGCAUUAUAAUGUCCAUACCAACG